rnacentral:lncRNA from 1 species
AUCCAUCAUUUAAUUUAACUUAGUAUAACUUUAAACUUUUAAGUUGCCAAAAAGAUUUUGAAAAUAAUUUUUAAGUAGGCAUACUUUAAAAAACAUAAUUAUUGAAAAGUUUAUAAACUUCUAUCCCACUUACAUUUAUUUAAUUUACUUAGUUUUAACAAAUUACCCCAGAUCACAUGAUCUUGAAAACUUAAAACUCCUCAUUGAGGUCAAAAAUUAUCCAGGCUUCUAGUACUGAACCCUUUAAAUGAUGAAAUGAGAAACAUGUUCACUUUUGAUUUGCUUCCUGGUAAGUGGAGAUAUAAAAAUGGGUUCGGGGCAUCUAUUUUCUUUGGUGAUUUGAACGAGUUAUAA